GACGAACGCUGGCGGCGUGCUUAACACAUGCAAGUCGAACGGAAAGGCCCUGUUUUUGUGCGGUGCUCGAGUGGCGAACGGGUGAGUAUCACGUGAGUAACCUGCCCUUGACUUUGGGAUAACUUCAGGAAACUGGGGCUAAUACCGGAUAUGAGCUCCUGCUGCAUGGUGGGGGUUGGAAAGUUUCGGCGGUUCGGGAUGGACGCGCGGCUUAUCAGCUUGUUGGUGGGGUAGUGGCUUACCAAGGCUUUGACGGGUAGCCGGCCUGAGAGGGUGACAGGCCACAUAGGGACUGGGAUACGGCCAAGAGGGCAACGGGAGGCAGGAGUGGAAAAUAGUGCGAAAUGGGCGGAAGGCUGAUGCAGCAACGCCGGGUGCGAGAUGACGGCCUUUGGGUUGUAAACCGCUUGAGCCUGGGACGAAGCGUGAGUGACGGUAAUGGGUAAGGAAGCGACGGCUAACUACGUG
rnacentral:rRNA from 1 species